GCGCGGCGAAAAACCUUACACACAGUGUUUUUUGUUAUUACAAGAACUUUUGCUUUGGUCUGGACUAGAAAUAGUUUGGGCCAGAGGUUUACUGAACUAAACUUCAAUAUUUAUAUUGAAUUGUUAUUUAUUUAAUUGUCAAUUUGUUGAUUAAAUUCAAAAAAUCUUCAAAACUUUCAACAACGGAUCUCUUGGUUCUCGCAUCGAUGAAGAACGCAGCGAAAUGCGAUAAGUAAUAUGAAUUGCAGAUUUUCGUGAAUCAUCGAAUCUUUGAACGCACAUUGCGCCCUCUGGUAUUCCAGAGGGCAUGCCUGUUUGAGCGUCAUUUCUCUCUCAAACCUUCGGGUUUGGUAUUGAGUGAUACUCUUAGUCGAACUAGGCGUUUGCUUGAAAUGUAUUGGCAUGAGUGGUACUGGAUAGUGCUAUAUGACUUUCAAUGUAUUAGGUUUAUCCAACUCGUUGAAUAGUUUAAUGGUAUAUUUCUCGGUAUUCUAGGCUCGGCCUUACAAUAUAACAAACAAGUUUGACCUCAAAUCAGGUAGGAUUA
rnacentral:rRNA from 1 species